AAGGAAAGGUGCACAGUUAGUUCCCAUGGAAAUGCUGACAAUUUGUUGAAAAAGUAAGUGUUGACCAAAAUGUUUUUCUUUUUAUUUUAGAAGAAAUUCACAUCAUGUUCUUCAUUAUUUUUUAGCAACUCUGAGUCUGUGCAUAUGUACAUGGAAUAACCCUGUAACAUUUAAAUUGUAUCAAAUUUACUUGUUUACAUUUGUCCUGACAUGGACUUUCUUGUGACAGAUAAGUUCUAUGUUUUCAUUGGCAUCUGUUAAACAGUAGUUACCAGUAUCAUCUAACUGUGAUUUAUAAGCAUCCUUAGCUAGAUUUUUCUUCACUUCCUGCAGUUAAGUUCAAACUCAUAUACUCUGUUAAACUUUGAACUUCUAAAUAGUCAUAAAAAAAAAGAAUGGCUUCUCAUGAUAUUAAUGUACAAAUAAGAUAUGACAUGUCUACUUCUUUAGAAUCUGUACACUGACUCAGGAUCUGUUAUUGACACUAUACUUAUGAUGGAUGGAUAAGUAUAGAAGUAUUAAGACAUAAAAUUGAAUAUCCUUAAAUGAAUUGGUAAUUGACAUGUUUCCAUUGAUUAAGCAAUCUGUCUAAUCAAUUAAGACCUGAUGAAUACCAAAACUAUGGUUCAAAUAAGGUUCAGAGCUGAAAGGUUGGCCUGGAGAAAAAAUAUACUUUGCAGUAAUUCUAUUUGAAUUUUAAAUGCUUUUAUGUAAAAAAGAAAGAUUUUGCUGUUUAUUGAAAAUGAAUGAAUAGUUCAUGCCUAUGGUUAUGUUUUUAAAAAGCUGCAAUCUAAGUUGCUGAAGAAAAUAGAUCAUAAGUGCCCACUGACUAGUAGGUACUGCUUUUUUGUUGUUGGGUUGUUUUCUCAUUGACAUUAAACAAACAUCUCCAUUUACCCAGUUGUCAGAGUUUUAAAACUAUAAGACCAUUGAUAUUACAAAACAUAUUUUGUCAAAUUGUAUGCUCAUUACCAUACAGAUUUAAUCAUGCAAAGCUGAGCUCCCUUUUCAUGCAUUAGACAUAUGCUGAAUCAUAAAUGAUGUGCUAUAGCUAUUACAUAUUUAUGUCCUCUGCACAUGAGGUGUGAAAAGAGAGAUAAAAAAAGGUGUCAUUGGUUAGUGCUAAAACAUAUCUUAAUCUGGUUUUAACAUACAGUUUUUCCCUUUCAUCUCAAAUUUUAGCUUAUGAUUUAUCAGAAGUUCUUAGUUUCUAAUGUAAAAUUUGAUAUUGGAGUCUGAGACAGGCCCAGAUAUUCAACUUGGAGUAUGACAAUCUAUCAAUGAAUUAAGUAUGAUUCCUGAAUCUUUUUGUUGCUCUUUAGUACUAGCUGAACAAUGACAUGAUUCUAUAGAAAAUUAUUUUUUAUCAUCAAUCAGGACUUGGGCCAUAAAAUACUUAACUUGAUGAAACAAAUUCCCUAGAACAUAAUAAAAAUGCAUUAUUUACUAUUGUAAAAGCCAAAUUAAGAACUCUAAGGUGAUAUUGUUGUCUUUCUUUUGAACUAUAUUCUUUUACAAUCAACUAUUUGAUUUCCCUGUGCUAUUUUAAGAUUAUUGAAAAUGAUAUAUGAGUUUAUAACCUGUCAUGUUUUUCUUAGUCUUGCUUUUAGAAUUAAAACAUAUAGACUUAAAGCAGCAAUCACAUGCACAGUAUUCCAAAAACUGUGCGGGCAGAGCUCUUUAUUGGUAUUAAUCAUAUCGUUGAAGUAAAAUAUAAUACUUCCAUGAUCAUAUUAACUACAUGUAGUUUCUUAAAAGACUUUCAUUGCUGAGUUAAAGACCUAACACUUGAAUAACAAUAUUCAAAGGACCUGAAAAAGAAGCAUUCAAUACUUAAUGAAUAUCAAAAGCUAUGUUACUUUCAUGUCCUUUGAAUAUUUUUACUCUGCAAUGUAAAUUCAUUUAUUUUCAUGGGUACCAAUUUUCGUGGAUUGAGAUAAACUUGCACUUUCAUGGAUUUAAGAUCAUGUUUUUGCAAAGUGUGCAUGUAUUCCUUUAAGAAAGUUUUAAUUCGUUGAACAUAUAAAUUCUUGGUUCUACUGUACCCAUGAAAUCAGCCAAAAAAUUGGUAUCCAGUGAAAAUUAAUGCACCCAUAGUAAUCAGUAAAAUGUUAAUCUGCUACUUGUUGAUUGUCAAAAUGAUAAUUAAAGCAGUCUUGAUAGCAGUUGUUUAAAAGUUCACCUGUUAAUUGAUAAAUCAUGGAUGUUUUUUUUUUUUUUUCAAAGAUGCAUCAGUAGUUCAGUGAAUAGCAGCAUACUUUUAUGUCAGUAGGAGCCCUUGAUUUUCCUGUAUGGUAGGAUUCUGCCUUAUGUUCAUUGGUGAAAACCUAUCAGCAAUUGUCAAGAUAAAGAACAGGGGUAAAUGUACAGUUCCUUAGUAAAAUAUAUUGUCAUUCAAUUGUAGUGUAUGGGAUAGUCAGCACCAAAUACCUCCAACAGGCCAUUUAAGCAACCAAAAAUCAAUCAAUCAACCAAAAGUACCACUAAAAAAAAUUAGGACUGAGAUACAAAGAAAACAAUUGUCCAGACCUUUUACUAAAAAAAUAUCUUGUAAGUUGAAACACUUCUUACUUUGCUUAAAUCUUGAUCAUGCAGUGAAAUGAAAAAAGGUCAAAGGAGUAAAAACAAAAACGCAAUUUUAGAAAACCAUUACGCUACAAAAGUGUAAUUUUAAUUACAUAAAAAAAGAAGAAGAAAAAACAAAGUGCAAUUAAAAUAAUACUAAGUGAAAUUAUAUCCCAAAAAUGCUUACAGUUACUGAAAUCAACUCAAAAGAAGAUAAUGUUAGUAUUAUAAAUGAACAA
rnacentral:lncRNA from 1 species